rnacentral:rRNA from 1 species
UACGUAGGGGGCGAGCGUUAAUCGGAAUUACUGGGCGUAAAGCGUGCGCAGGCGGUCUGUUAAGACCGAUGUGAAAUCCCCGGGCUCAACCUGGGAAUGGCAUUGGAUACUGGCUCGCUAGAGUGCGGUAGAGGGUGGUGGAAUUCCCGGUGUAGCAGUGAAAUGCGUAGAGAUCGGGAGGAACAUCUGUGGCGAAGGCGGCCACCUGGACCAGCACUGACACUGAGGCACGAAAGCGUGGGGAGCAAACAGG